rnacentral:rRNA from 1 species
AGCGAACGCUGGCGGCAGGCCUAACACACGCAAGUCGAGCGGCCGUAGCAAUACGGCAGCGGCAGACGGGAGAGUACCACGUGGGAACGCGCCCUUCGGUUCGGGAUAACUCAGGGAAACUCGGGCAAAUACCGGCUACGACCUUACGGGGAAAGAUUUAUUGCCGAAGGAACGGCCCGCGUCCGAUUAGCUUGUUGGUGAGGUAACGGCUAACCAAGGCGACGAUCGGUAGCCGGUGUGAGAGGAUGACCAGCCUCACUGGGACUGAGACACGGCCCAGACUCCUACGGGAGGCAGCAGUGGGGAAUAUUGGACAAUGGGCGCAAGCCUGAUCCAGCCAUGCCGCGUGGGGGAUGAAGGCCCUAGGGUUGUAAAGCCCUUUCAGCGGGGAAGAUAAUGACGGUACCCGCAGAAGAAGCCCCGGCUAACUUCGUGCCAGCAGCCGCGGUAAUAC